AAGACCGAUGCGUCAAUAGACCAUUGUGACAGUGGCACAAAAUUAGGUAAAUAAAUGACAAAAGACCAAGACGAAUGUAGACCAAAACGAAAAAUGAUCCUUGCGUCUUCUCCCCAAAAUGUCACAUGCCCAAUUAUUUUUCUUUUCUACGACUUUUGAACAAAAAGUCAGAAGACCAAAGCGACACUAAACCAAACCUUUUAUAUAGCCAUACUAUAGAGGGACUUGGCAACGCAUAGCAGACAGCUUGUGUGAAUCAAAUCAAAACAAAAAUAAGUCAGUAAUAAAAAGAGUUUGAUUUCAGAAUUAAACUAAUGUCGCAGUAAUUAUCAGGAGUUAGUCUACUUUGCCAAACAAAACAAAAACCCCUUCUUCAUGAUUAUCAAGUGUAUUUCGCUAUUCAAGUAUUCAGGCAACGUGGAAAGUUCUGCUAGUAUGGAGCUCUAAAUGCUUCUCUCAAUCAUCAAAGAUUUUACGAGAUUACACAUGUGAAAAGAAGUCAAAUCCAUUUCGAUGCCGAAGAACUGUCGAAAAAUGGAUAUUCCAGCACCCUCAGUUUAUACACCAAAGGAAAGGAAGUGUCAGUGCGAGCAAAGGUCUCUCUAAUUUGGGGAGCACAUCAAUGUCAACCAAGUCUUGAGCCAAACUAAUUGGUUGACACAACUACUCGACGUGGAAGUUCAAGGUGGCCAUGUUGUGCAGCUGAAAGGUUCAUUGGAAACUCCCCCUACAGCAGUUCCUAUGCAGCCUUUCAAGAACAAGAAAACUGAAAUCCUGUGGUGAAUUCAUCAGAAAAAGCAAAUAAAGAGGAGCCGUUAGUUGCUGAACCAAUCGGUGUAACCUUGGUUCAGAUAAACCCCCCUAAGUGUUGAAGAUGAUUCUACUGUUACGAAGACGGAAGAUACUGCUAGCUGAUUAAGAAACCGACGAAGAAGAAAGUCUUGUCUCGUUAUGUGGAGUCAUUGAGCACAGCGGUCGGCUCAGUAGUUACCACAACACAGCUUUCUUUUAA